rnacentral:lncRNA from 10 species
ACUUCCGGUUUCCUUUCCCUCAGCUAUUCCAUGGCUUUUCGUGUGGACAAAUCGGGAGGUGGUGUAAACUGGUUUUUGGUGAAAUUCGGCUCGGCCUCAUGCGAACCUAUCUAGGUCCGUCUCUGGAGUGGCCUGUCAUCGAUCGCGCCCUCCAUCGCUGAGCGACACAAGUGGAACCCCCCAGGACUGCAUUCUGCGAAACUACCCUGCUUUUCCCCCAGUUUUGGUCUGUGAACACAUUUGGGAAAUUCUUCUGAUCCUACCGCUACUCUCUUGAGAUGAAGAAACAGCUCAGAUUUGACCAAGAUCACACAAGUAGGAGUUGAGGAAUUGGAACCCACUAUGACUGACUCCAAAUUAAUAUAGUGUUUAUAGCCACUUACAUAAUAAUGGUAAAGGUUUUAUUUUUUUCACUAUA